rnacentral:rRNA from 1 species
GCACAAGCGGUGGAGCAUGUGGUUUAAUUCGAAGCAACGCGAAGAACCUUACCAGGUCUUGACAUCCCGAUGCUAUUCUAGAGAUAGAAAGUUACUUCGGUACAUCGGUGACAGGUGGUGCAUGGUUGUCGUCAGCUCGUGUCGUGAGAUGUUGGGUUAAAUCCCGCAACGAGCGCAACCCCUAUUGUUAGUUGCCAUCAUUCAGUUGGGCACUCUAGCGAGACUGCCGGUAAUAAACCGGAGGAAGGUGGGGAUGACGUCAAAUCAUCAUGCCCCUUAUGACCUGGGCUACACACGUGCUACAAUGGUUGGUACAACGAGUUGCGAGUCGGUGACGGCGAGCUAAUCUCUUAAAGCCAAUCUCAGUUCGGAUUGUAGGCUGCAACUCGCCUACAUGAAGUCGGAAUCGCUAGUAAUCGCGGAUCAGCACGCCGCGGUGAAUACGUUCCCGGGCCUU